CCUACGGGAGGCAGCAGUGAGGAAUAUUGGUCAAUGGGCGAAAGCCUGAACCAGCCAAGUCGCGUGAGUGAAUAAGGCCCUACGGGUCGUAAACCUCUUUUGCCGGGGAGCACGUGCGGGGACGUGUCCCUGCCCGGAGUGUACCCGGCGAAACAGCAUCGGCAAACUCCGUGCCAGCAGCCGCGGUAGUACGGAGGAGGCGAGCGUUAGCGGGCUUUAUUGGGUUUAAGGGGUGCGUAGGCGGGCUUUUAAGUCAGCGGUAAAAAUUCGGGGCUCAACCCCGUCCGGCCGUUGAAACUGGGGGCCUUGAGUGGGCGAGAAGAAGGCGGAAUGCGUGGUGUAGCGGUGAAAUGCAUAGAUAUCACGCAGAACCCCGAUUGCGAAGGCAGCCUUCCGGCGCCCUACUGACGCUGAGGUACGAAAGUGCGGGGAUCGAACAGGAUUAGAUACCCCUGUAGUC
rnacentral:rRNA from 1 species